AUUAAGGUAGCAAAGUCAGGCCAUGCAAGAGGCUUAAAACCUUGGUACAGAUGUUCAAAUCAUCUCCUUAAUA
rnacentral:tRNA from 1 species